CUAUAUAACAUUUCAGAAUGCACAAAAGCAACCAUUAAUGCAUAUUGUUCCACAUUAUGUUGGGCUGGAAAACUGAAUGACUAGAUUCCAUUUUUCAAUUUCAGCAUUUCUGAGAAAUAAAACUAAAAACCAAACUGUGAAAAACAUAUCUCAAAUUACAUCACAUUGUCAUCUCACUCUUAACAAAUUCUGUUGCUGAAAUUGUGAUCGCAGCUGUGUUUAGAUACUUAAAGGUGAAACCCCAACGGCAUGCAAGUCCCAUUUAACAUAGAUUAUGACAAAAAAUAACUCAAUUAAACAUUCAAACACAUUAAAAAGGCUCAUAGUCUCACAGGCAUUCAAAGCAAAAACAGAUCUAUAAAAAUAGAAUGUGAAUUUUGGGGAAAAAAUAAUGAAAUCAUAAAGCGAUCUAUGCAAACAGUACCUUUAAGGCAUAUAACAAAGAGAAGGACAAAAAAAAAAAAAAAGUGCCGUUAGUCCUUGUUGCUUUGAUAUUUGUACACCAUUUUAUUUUGUUUUUAAUGUAAAUAAUAUAAUAAAAUUGACAUUUCAAGCAGUGAACGAGAAUAAAUGCAUUUUUUUCUAUAAAAUUCAUUUUGCUAAUAAAUCUAUUACUAAUGAAUUAAAGAUUUUCUUUCAUUCAUUAUAUUAUUUCUGAGGCAAAGUACAAAAGGAAAACAUAUAAUAACCAGAAAGAAAAUCAAGUAAAAACAGAAAGAUUAGUCAAUUUCGGCCUCCUUUGAUGUUAUGUUCUUUAGAUAACAGAAUGGACCAUAUGAUGAAAGGCAUCAAUGGCAAGAAAGCUAUAAAAGAUUAUAAUACCAGUGCAACCCCUAUUUCAUAAAACUAAAUUCCCAUGACAAUUAAUUCCAAUUUCUCAAUAGCAUCUAA
rnacentral:misc_RNA from 1 species